rnacentral:rRNA from 1 species
UAUUGGACAAUGGGGGGAACCCUGAACCAGCGACGCCGCGUGAGUGAAGAAGUAUCUCGGUAUGUAAAGCUAUAUCAGCAGGGAAGAAGAAAUGACGGUACAUGAGUAAGAAGCUACGGCUAACUACGUGCCAGCAGCCGCGGUAAUACGUAGGGGGUAAGCGUUAUUCGUAAUUACUGGGUGUAAAGGGAGCGUAGACGGUGAUGUAAGUCUGGAGUGAAAGGCGGGGGCCCAACCCCCGGACUGCUCUGGAAACUAUGUGACUGGAGUGCAGGAGAGGUGAGCGGAAUUCCUAGUGUAGCGGUGAAAUGCGUAGAUAUUAGGAGGAACACCAGUGGCGAAGGCGGCUCACUGGACUGUAACUGACGUUGAGGCUCGAAAGCGUGGGGAGCAAACAGG